ensembl:lincRNA Gm34342 predicted gene, 34342
AAGGGUAGAAACUGAGCCACUGGACACACUAGUUAACGUUUUGUUCAUUCUCAGGUGCUGUGUCCCAGGUCCUCACACGGAUGAACACAGUACAGUGAGGUCCUCCUGGAAGACAGACCUCACACGUCCUGGCUGGGGAGCUGAGCAGUUGUGCUUGCAUGUGCCGUUGACAUCUUGCAUGCCUUACCACAGGCUGGAAGCAGAGCCACGCCAGUCAUGCGUUGGCCCUCUGAAAACAAGCUAAGACAAACCUUUAUGCUUAGAUUAGUUGCCUUCUGUAUUUUGUUACAGUAACACGAAGCUAACCGUUUUAUUAAAAGUAUAUUGUCACUUCA